UACGUAUGGUGCAAGCGUUAUCCGGAUUUACUGGGUGUAAAGGGAGCGCAGGCGGCGCGGCAAGUCCGGUGUGAAAGCCCGGGGCUCAACCCCGGUACUGCACUGGAAACUGUCGUGCUUGAGUGUCGGAGGGGCAGGCGGAAUUCCUGGUGUAGCGGUGAAAUGCGUAGAUAUCAGGAGGAACACCGGUGGCGAAGGCGGCCUGCUGGACGACAACUGACGCUGAGGCUCGAAAGCGUGGGGAGCAAACAGG
rnacentral:rRNA from 1 species